rnacentral:rRNA from 1 species
AGUGAACGCUGGCGGUAGGCCUAACACAUGCAAGUCGAACGGCAGCACAGUAAGAGCUUGCUCUUACGGGUGGCGAGUGGCGGACGGGUGAGGAAUACAUCGGAAUCUACUUUUUCGUGGGGGAUAACGUAGGGAAACUUACGCUAAUACCGCAUACGACCUACGGGUGAAAGCAGGGGAUCUUCGGACCUUGCGCGAUUGAAUGAGCCGAUGUCGGAUUAGCUAGUUGGCGGGGUAAAGGCCCACCAAGGCGACGAUCCGUAGCUGGUCUGAGAGGAUGAUCCGCCACACUGGAACUGAGACACGGUCCAGACUCCUACGGGAGGCAGCAGUGGGGAAUAUUGGGCAAUGGGCGCAAGCCUGAUCCAGCCAUACCGCGUGGGUGAAGAAGGCCUUCGGGUUGUAAAGCCCUUUUGUUGGGAAAGAAAAGCAGCAGAUUAAUACCCCGCUGUUCUGACGGUACCCAAAGAAUAAGCACCGGCUAACUUCGUG